rnacentral:rRNA from 1 species
CUGUGGUUUAUUGGAUCGUACUCGGUAAAUGGAUAACUGUAAUAACUCUAGAGCUAAUACAUGCCUCGAUGCCCUGAGCCUGCAUGCUCGCCUGCUUCGCGUGUAGCGGUGGCGGCGGCAGCCGCAGGGGAGGGGUGCACUUAUUAGAUCAGAAGCCAGCCAACCGGCCAAGCGGCGCGGGUUGCGACAACACUUCUGGUGACUCUGGAUAAUUGUGACAGAUCGCAGUCGGCCUUGAGUCGGCGACGGGUCCUUCAAAUGUCUGCCCUAUCAACUUUCGAUGGUAGGUGACCUGCCUACCAUGGUGAUAACGGGUAACGGGGAAUCAGGGUUCGAUUCCGGAGAGGGAGCCUGAGAAACGGCUACCACUUCCAAGGGAGGCAGCAGGCGCGCAACUUACCCACUCCCGGCACGGGGAGGUGGUGACGAAAAAUACCGAUGCGGGACUCCUUCAAGAGGCUCCGUAAUCGGAAUGAGUGGACUCUAAAUCCUUUCACGAGGAUCCAUUGGAGGGCAAGUCUGGUGCCAGCAGCCGCGGUAACUCCAGCUCCAAUAGCGUAUAUUAAAGUUGCUGCAGUUAAAAAGCUCGUAGUUGGAUCUCGGUGGCGUUGUUGCCUGCUGGCCAUUGAGCGGUGGGUGUGUGGCCAUGGGUGCGCGGUCCUGGCCGGCGUGUGCGCGUCGACGCGUGGCUAGCUCGGUCGGUCGCUCGGUCGGUCGACCAGCGGGGCCGGCUGGUGGGCGUGUGCGCGUGCGCGUGUUGCGGGGACUGUGGCAUCGUGGUGGCCAUGAAAAGGCACUGCCGCGUCAAGCCGGCAAGGCGAUGGUGUCGCCUCUACGCCAUGUCUGCGGUGUGACAGCCGCAGGUGCGGGCGGGUGUUGGGCGGUGCUCUGCUCACGUGGUGGAGGCCGUCGGCUCGUCGGCAUGCCUUGGGAUGCCCUUGAAAAGGUGUCUGCGGGCGGAUGGCACGUUUACUUUGAACAAAUUUGAGUGCUCAAGUCAGGCUGCUGAUGUUGCCUGAAAAGUUUUGCAUGGAAUAAUGGAAUAGGACUUCGGUUCUGUUUCGUUGGUUUUCGGAUCCGAAGUAAUGAUCAAAAGAGACAGGCGGGGGCGUUUGUAUGGCUGCGCUAGAGGUGAAAUUCAUGGACCGUAGCCAGACAAACUAAAGCGAAAGCAUUCGUCAAGCAUGUUUUCAUUGGCCAUGAGCGAAAGUCAGAGGCUCGAAGACGAUCAGAUACCGUCCUAGUUCUGACCAUAAACGAUGCCAACUGACGAUCCGUGGUGGUAGUGCACUUACCUUCCCCGCGGGCAGUCCCCGGGAAACCUUUAAGUGUUUGGGUUCCGGGGGAAGUAUGGUUGCAAAGCUGAAACUUAAAGGAAUUGACGGAAGGGCACCACCAGGAGUGGAGCCUGCGGCUUAAUUUGACUCAACACGGGAAAGCUCACCCGGGCCGGACACUAUGAGGAUUGACAGAUUGAGAGCUCUUUCUUGAUUUGGUGGUUGGUGGUGCAUGGCCGUUCUUAGUUGGUGGAGCGAUUUGUCUGGUUAAUUCCGAUAACGAACGAGACUCCAGCCUGCUAAUUAGUGCGUUUGUCCACUGCGCCUGCGGGGCUCACGUUGGGCUUCGUGCAUUGACACCAGCGAGCGCUUGAGGUGGGGCGUGCACCCGCUCGUCCUGCCUCCGUUCGCUCGCUCGCCCGCCCGCCCGCCUGCCACUUGCGCGCCACCUGCUCCUCGUGGGUGGGUGGUGGUGGUGGUGGCGGCGGUGACGGGAGGGUGAGUGGGUGGAUGGGUGGGUGGUUGCGUUGGUGUCGGGCGUUGGUGCCUCGCGUGGGCCUGUGGGCGCGGCGCGAAUGCCUACUUCUUAGAGGGACAAGCGGGAGAAGCCGCACGAAAUAGAGCAAUAACAGGUCUGUGAUGCCCUUAGAUGUCCGGGGCCGCACGCGCGCUACAAUGACGGUGUCAACGAGUCAGACCUUCUGGCCCGAGAGGGUUGGGCAAACUGGUCAAUCACCGUCGUGACAGGGAUCGGGGCUUGGAAUUGUUGCCCGUGAACGAGGAAUUCCUAGUAAGUGCAAGUCAUAAGCUUGCGCUGAUUACGUCCCUGCCCUUUGUACACACCGCCCGUCGCUACUACCGAUUGAAUGGUUUAGUGAGGUCCUCGGAUUGGUGUCAUUGCGGUGGCGGUGGCGGUGGCGGCGGCGGCGUCGGUCCGCUCGCUGGCUCGCUGGCUCGCUGGCUCGCCCGAGAGGCGCCGAGAAGACGACCGAACUUGAUCAUUUAGA